rnacentral:rRNA from 1 species
ACGGGUGAGUAACGCGUGGGAACGUGCCUUCCGGUUCGGAAUGACCCUGGGAAACUAGGGCCAAUACCGGAUCCGCCCUUAUGGGGAAAGGUUUACUGCCGGAAGAUCAGCCCGCGUCUGAUUACCUAGUUGGUGGGGUAACGGCCUACCAAGGCGACGAUCAGUAGCUGGUCUGAGAGGAUGAUCAGCCACACUGGGACUGAGACACGGCCCAGACUCCUACGGGAGGCAGCAGUGGGGAAUAUUGGACAAUGGGCGCAAGCCUGAUCCAGCCAUGCCGCGUGAGUGAUGAAGGCCUUAGGGUUGUAAAGCUCUUUUAUCCCGGACGAUUAUGACGGUACCGGAGGAAUAAGCCCCGGCUAACUUCGUGCCAGCAGCCGCGGUAAUACUAAGGGGGCUAGCGUUGCUCGGAAUCACUGGGCGUAAAGGGCGCGUAUGCGGCGUUUUAAGUCGGGGGUGAAAGCCUGUGGCUCAACCACAGAAUGGCCUUCGAUACUGGGACGCUUGAGUAUGGUAGAGGUUGGUGGAACUGCCAGUGUACAGGUGAAAUUCGUAGA